CAUGUAACACCAAUUUCCGUACAGAUCACCGAAGUUAAGCAACGUCGAACCUGAUCAGUACCUAGAUGGGUGACCGCUUGGGAAUACCGGUUGCUGUAAG